rnacentral:rRNA from 1 species
UACAGAGGUCUCAAGCGUUGUUCGGAUUCAUUGGGCGUAAAGGGUGUGUAGGUGGCGCCGUAAGUCGGGUGUGAAAUUUCGGAGCUUAACUCCGAAACUGCAUUCGAUACUGCGGUGCUUGAGGACUGGAGAGGAGACUGGAAUUCAUGGUGUAGCAGUGAAAUGCGUAGAGAUCAUGAGGAAGACCAGUGGCGAAGGCGGCUGCCUGGGCCUGGCCUGACGCUGAGGCGCGAAAGCGUGGGGAGCAAUCCGG